ACUAAGUCACUUAAGUCGUGUCUGACUCGCUGCGACCCUAUGGACUAUAACCUGCCAGGUUCCUCUGUCCGUGGAAUUCUCCAGACAAGAAUAGUGGAGUGGAUUGCCGUUUCCUUCUCCGUAUCUUUUAAAGCAGGUUUAUGGACAGUCUUCUAUGACCCAAGCAUCAGGCAAAGUGCUUUGGGAGGCACAAAGAUGAAUAAGAUGUGACCCUUGUUCUCCAGGAUCCUGCCAAGUGGAUGAAGAGAAAGGCCAUAUACAUAAUAAGAUAACUGAUGACCCAACUCUGCCUGUUGCUGCUCUGAAUGUUAACCAUACAACCAAGCCUGACCAAGCUCUCUUACUCAUCACAGGGGUUGAUUGGCACUGGACUCAGUUCUGAUUGUUCACUGUGGCUGCAUCCUCCAAGCCAAAUGACCCACAUAAAGCCAAC